UAUUCUCACUGUAGGUUGGCGUCUCAUAGUCGUGUCCCAAUCUAUCGUGCGAGUGU
ensembl:miRNA gmo-mir-11221 gmo-mir-11221